rnacentral:rRNA from 1 species
UACAGAGGGUGCGAGCGUUAAUCGGAAUUACUGGGCGUAAAGCGCACGUAGGCGGCUUGGUAUGUCGGGUGUGAAAUCCCCGGGCUCAACCUGGGAACUGCAUCCGAAACUGCCUUGCUAGAGUAUGGGAGAGGGAAGUGGAAUUUCCGGUGUAGCGGUGAAAUGCGUAGAUAUCGGGAGGAACAUCAGUGGCGAAGGCGGCUGCCUGGCCCAAUACUGACACUCAGGUGCGACAGCGUGGGGAGCAAACAGG